AAGUCGUAACAAGGUAUCUGUAGGUGAACCUGCAGAUGGAUCAUUUCGAUGAAAACCUUUUUUCUGAGGUGUGGCUCGCACCUGUCCAACUAAACUUGAGCUACCCAAUUUCAACACGGUUGCAUCGGUUGGCUGUCAAACAGUGCCUCGGCGCUGGGAGGCGGUCGACACACAACACAAACACUUUUGAUGAUCUAGGAUUUUGAAUGAAGUUCAUUUUUAUGAUGGAACCGACUGGUAAUGCGGUCGUCUAAAUCUAAAAAAACAACUUUUGGCAACGGAUCUCUUGGUUCUCC
rnacentral:misc_RNA from 1 species